UCACCACACAGUUGCAAGGACUGAAUAUGAUGGAAGAUUCCUUGGCUUCCUCUCAUUCAUGCAUAAUCUCCUAAAUGAUGGACAUAUACAGUGCAGUAUGAGACAACCAGGGCAUAUCUAUAGAGAAAAAAAUUUUCAAUUUAAUUUGAGGUUUGCCACAGGAAGCAUAAUCUAGGUCUUCUUUUUAUUUCAAAUGUUUUUUGAAACAAUUUUUGUAGGAAUAUCAACUAGUACAAAUGCUGCUUUUCAAAGACCAUGUUAUAUUUUUGAAAUGUAAUUAGAAAUCUAAAAUUUACAUUUAGAGUAUUAUCUAUUCCUCCCUAUCCUAUUCACAGCCUGUUUUCUAUUAGAAUCUGAAGUGCAUCAUUGCAUUUAACUGCUGCUGUUUGUUACAGAUAGUGGAGUCUGGAAGGUGUAGUAGUAUAGGUAGCAGCUGAUAAAGUACAUAAUUAGCUCACUUCCUGAGAUUCAAAGAUUAGUAAACUUGCUUUCUUGGAGGAUGGAAAAUACGUUUCACCUUAUUUUAGUGGUUCAGUAACAGUUCACAUUACUUUUUUUUUCUUUUUUUUAAAUUUUACUUUAUUAAUAUAACACAAAGUGGUGAGUUUGGUUGGGUUUUGUUUUGUUUUGUUUUGUUUUGUUCUUUUUUUGGUACAGGUCAUGCAGAACAUAUUAAAAAAUUUUAAUGACAGCAAAUAAAGCUCUGCUUCCUUCCAUGGAAAAUGUGCAUUAACUUGUCCAGAUCUUUGGAAUUGCUGAAUGAUACUCCAUUUCAGAAAAGUUUAAAACUGAGUAUUGUUGCUACUGUUGGCAGUUUUUCUUCUGGACUUAAAAAUUUUCUUUCUUUUUUCUGUUAUGCAAAUCCUGCAGAAAUCUGAUCUAAGAAAAUUACAAGUUUUGCAGCUGAGAGACUUUAAAGACUGAAAAGGCCAACAUUCCUGCUAUGCACACAGCUGUGCACACCUUAAUAUUUUAUCUCCUGAGAGAGCGCACUCAUACUCUAAUGUGAAAAAAACACAGUAAAUAGUCUUCCACUCACCAGACUUCCUCAUCUUCUAAUAAUCACAUGCUUAAACGUUCACAUGGCUUAUAGCAGCAAGGCUCACUCUAGCUACCUCGGAAAGCCAUGGGUGAGAAG
rnacentral:lncRNA from 1 species